GGUUCGCCGCCCGCGACACUGCGAGAAGUCCAUUGAACCUUAUCAUUUAGAGGAAGGAGAAGUCGUAACAAGGUUUCCGUAGGUGAACCUGCGGAAGGAUCAUUG
rnacentral:rRNA from 7 species